CGAGCUCGGCUCUGCCGCACCCCGCGGAGCUCACACUCGACCUUCCAGAGAAGGGUGUGGACACCGUGGGAGGUUGGGGAGGCCUCG
ensembl:miRNA Mir3093 microRNA 3093